rnacentral:rRNA from 1 species
GACGAACGCUGGCGGCGUGCUUAACACAUGCAAGUCGUACGGUAAGGCCCUUUCGGGGGUACACGAGUGGCGAACGGGUGAGUAACACGUGAGUAACCUGCCCACAACUUUGGGAUAACGCUAGGAAACUGGUGCUAAUACUGGAUAUGUGCUCCUGCUGCAUGGUGGGGGUUGGAAAGCUCCGGCGGUUGUGGAUGGACUCGCGGCCUAUCAGCUUGUUGGUGGGGUAGUGGCCUACCAAGGCGGCGACGGGUAGCCGGCCUGAGAGGGUGACCGGCCACAUUGGGACUGAGAUACGGCCCAGACUCCUACGUGAGGCAGCAGUGGGGCAUAUUGCCCAAUGGGCGCAAGCCGGAUGCAGCAACUCCGCGGGCGGGAUGACGGCCUUCGGGUUGUAAACCGCUUUCAGCAGGGACGAAGCUUUUUGUGACGGUACCUGCAGAAGAAGCACCGGCUAACUACGUG